UUUCUGAGAGGCUCAAAGCGCUUGCGCCGACCCCUUCUCCCACAGUCUUUGUGCGGAAAGAAGGGCUUCGCGCGUGCGCGGCGGGUAGUGGGACUGUAGAGUCCCGCUAAGGGGCGCCAGAGGCGUCAGGAUCGCUGGUGAAUCAAAGUACGCCGCUCCUCGACCAGCUUCUACUCCAGACACUUAAACUUCCAAGACAGCUUCCUUUUACGCCUCUUCUUUUGCUGCACCCGGGUCAACAAUCAUGCAGAAACACGUUUUUCAUAUUCCUGUUUGUUCUCCUGGUACAGAUAUGCAAAAAUCAAGGAGAAAGGAAUCCAAGCACAAUAAAGGAAGCCAUCAAACCACAAGGGAAGAGAGAAGAAAGAGAAGAAGAAAGGAACAGAAGAACUACAAAAGCAACCAUAAUACAAGUAACAAAAUGGCACUCCCUGUGACCUGGAUCUUUCGUAAGGAAAGGAAGGCCCAUGUCAUGUCACUGAUGCUCCUUCUACAGUGUUGAUCACCAGGCUCAAGACAUGCCUUCCCCAGGCCCUCACUUCCUCAGCCAUUCUGCAGGGCAAGACAGAGUUCACCAGCAAUUAGCUGCCCCACAGAGAUGAGAGCCCAGCCCCUGGGAGGGGUUGUGUCCAGCAGAGUGGUAACUAUGAAUUCGAAUUAAUGUGUGGCCUGUAAGGUACUUGUGUUGGCGGUGCUGGUCUAAUGUACAUGGUAGAUGCAGGAUCAAAAAGACCAUGGUCAAGUGCAGGAGAGUUGCUUGUUCAGAUUCCACUGGCGACCAAAAGCUGAGUGCCCAACCAGCACUGCCAGCCUCCGGGAAUCCUAUGGGGAUUCAUUCACCAGCUUCCCCUCCUUCCCGGACCCAUGCAUCAGAAGAGAAGAGAGAUUGUAACACAUGCACACAAGGAGUGGGCUUUACCAAUUGUUUGAAUACUCCCUUUUCUGCAUGCCCUGCAAAUAUGUCACUCAGGCACAGAACCUGUGGGCCCCACGCCCAGAGGUGGAUGCAAGGUGGUAAUUGCAUGGCAGUCAUGGCCAACCUGAAACCUGGAUUCCAACUGGGUCUCCAUCAUGCCCUGUUAUACAGUGAUGCAUUAGCUCCAUAAAAUAAAAUAAAAACAGAAAUUACUUUUAUAACGCAUGCCUCCUGGUAGGGAAAUCUUCUAGAACAUCAGCUGGACAGAGCUCAUCAUUGGAGCUAUAUAGGUGCAGCUAGGCCUGGCCAAGUGGAAAAGUGCUAGGUUUGAGCUAUGAGGUGGGCCUGGGCCUGGGCCAGGCCCCACUUAGCCCCAUGCCUUGUGCUCGUGGCAGGUGCGGGGCUCUCUCUGCCUUCACAGCCCAGGGCCCUGUGCCUCUCCAGUAGGGCUGGGCUCGGGGAAGCCACCCAAGGGCUCCUUUCCAGCUGGAGCCCCAUCUCUUGCUACCGAUCCUGUGAUCUAACAGAUUUUUCACCCCAAUCCUGAUGUAAUAAAUAAUGAAGAGUUGUACUUUUUAUACAUCUGUUAGUGACAGGUGAGUGGUGAUUGUCCUUUGUGUGCCCCAUGUAUGUUGCUGCAGAAAAUGGCUCCCUCAGAUUACUUGGUCAACUGAGUCAAGCUGAGUGGAAGAGGGUUUGAGUGGUGAUGAAGGAUUGAGGGUCAUGAGGGAAACAUGUCACCAAAUAUUUAUCCCUUGUCUCUAGAUGAGACGGUUAAAUCCAUGCAGGAGCACCACAGGCAUGGAGUGUCCGUGCAAACCUGGUUACUCUUCUUGGAAAAGAUUCUCCUGAGUUCUGUCAGAAGUGCCUCACUAGGCUGAAACUCGUCUCUGAUGACUUUCCAAACUUGUGUUCUUUAAUUCCUGGAACCUACUCUUGCGGCAGAUGGACCUCCAGGACAAUGAGAUCCCUGCGGCCAGGGCUCUUACUUUAGGCAUGCAGGGUGCCUUGUAUGAAAUGCUGGUGACCUGGCUCAACAAAACCAGGCAGGAUGUUUCAAUCAACACCCUACUGCAGAGAAUCCAGGACUGCCUGGUAGGCCCCAGAAAGUGCAUCUAUGAAGAAGGCGGGACAGGCUCUGCCGUGUCCUGAGUGGAAAGACUCUUUAAGAAUCUGAGCUUCCCUUUUUGCCUUUUCUACUUGAAGGGGAAGUAUAAGUGGACACCAGCCUGGAAGAAAGAGCAGAUACUUGAUGAAUACUUGAAGAAAUUCUAAUUCAAAAGCAUACAGCUCUUCACAAGAGACUCUUUUUAAAAUGUUUAUUUAUUUUUGAGACAGAGAGAAAGCAGGCUAGUGCAUGUGCACCAGCAGGGGAAGAGCAGAGAGAAAGAGAGAAUCCCAAGCAGGCUCUGCACCAUCGGCACAGAGCCCAGCACAAAGCCCAACUUGGGGCUCUAACCCACGGGCUGUGAGAUCAUGAUCUGAGUCGAAAUUAAGAGUUGGAUGCUUAACCAACUGGACCACCCAGGUGUCCCCACAAGAGACUCUUAAUGAUAGAGAACAAACUAAGGGUUGAUGGAGGGGAGGUGAGGAAGAUAGGCUAUGUGGAUGAUGGGUACUAAGGAAUGCACUUGUUGUGAUGAGCACUGGGUGUUGUAUGGAAGUGAUGAAUCAUUGAAUUCUACUCCUGUAACCAAUAUUGCACUGUAUGCUAACUAACUAAAAUUUAAAUUAAAACAAACAAACCAUACAGCUCUUGGAAUAUUCUAGAACUUUUUCAGUGUGCUUGGAAUAAUUUUUAUGAAAUGUUGAGUGUGAUAAGUGAACUGUGGUAAUGUGUACAGUAAGAUUCUAUGUGGAUUAUAGUUAUAGGCAUACCUUAUUCUACCAUGUUUCACUUUAUUGCACUUCAAAGAUAUUUCAUUUUUUACAAACUGAAGUUUUGUGGCAACCCUGAGUUGAGCAAGUCUAUUGGUACCAGUUUUUCAACAGCAUUUUCUGACUUUGUAUCUCUGUGUCACAUUUUGAUAACUCUUGCAAUACUUAAAACCUUUUCAUUAUUACUAAUUUUGUUAUAGUGAUCUACGAUCAGUAAUGUUUGAUGUUAUUACUGUAAUUAUUUUGGGGUGCCACGAAUUGCACCCAUAUAAGAUUGUGAACUCAAUUAGUAAAUGGUGUGUGUCUUCUGACUGGUCCACCAGCUAGCCUUUCCCCAAUCUGUCUUCCUCUCCUUGAACCUCCAUAUUCCCUGACUUACAGCAUUAUUGAAAUUAGGCCAAUUAAUAACCCCCAAAUGACCUCUAAGUGUUGAAGUGAAAGUAUCAGUCACAUGUCUCUCACUUUAAAUCAAAAGCUAGAAAUGAUUAAGCUUAGUGAGGAAGGCACGUCGAAAGCUGAGAUAGACCAAAAGCUGGGCCUCUCGCACCGAGCAGUUAGCCAGGUUGUGAAUGCAAAGGAAAAGUUCUUGAAGGAAAUUAAAAGUGCUUUCCGGUGAACACACGAAUGAUAAGAAAGCGAAGCAGCCCUGUUGCUGUUACUGAGAAAAUGUGGGUGGCCUGCAUAGAAGAUCAAACCAGCCACAACAUUCUGUUAAACCAAAGCCUAAUCCAGCACGCCCUGACUCUCUUCAAUUCCGUGAAGGCUGAGAGAGGUGAGGAAGCUGCAGGAGAAAAGUCUGAGGCUGGCAGAGGUUGGUUGACGAGGUCUGAGGACAGAAGCCGUCUCCGUGACAUCAAGGUGCAAGGCGAAGCAGCAGGAGCUGAUGUGGAAGCUGCCGCGGGUUCUCCAGAAGAUCCGGCUCAGAUAAUUCAUGAGGACGGCGACACUGAACAACAGGUUUACAACGUAGUGAAGCAGCCUCUGUUGGAAGAAGAUGCCACCUAGGACUUUCACAGCUACAGAGGCAAAGUCAAUGCCUGGCUUCAAAGCUUCAAAGGACAGGCAGCUGGUGACUUCAAGGGAAGCCAGGGCUCAUUUACUAUUCUGGAAGGCCGAGGGCCCAUAAGGAUGAUGCUAAAUCCAUCCACUCUGCCUGUGCUCUGUACAUGGAACAACAAAGCCUGAAUGACCACACUUCUGCUCACUGAGUGUUUUAAGUCCACUGCUCGCUGACAGUGCACGGGUCACCCAUGAGCGCUGAUGGAGAUGGACGACGAGGUGAAUGUGGUUUCUGUGCUUGCUCACACAGCAUCCAUUCUGCAGCCCGUGGGUCAAGGAGUCAUUUCAACUUUCAAGUCUUAUUAUUUAAGAAAUGCAUGUUGUAGGGCUAUGGCUGCCGCAGACAGGGAUUGCUCUGAUGGAUCUGGGCAAAGUAAAUUGAAACCUUCUGGAAAGGAGUCACCAUUCUAGGUGCCAUUAAGAUCAUUCGUGACUCACGGGAAGAGGUCAAAAUAGCAACAUGAACAGAAGUUUGGAAGAAUUUGAUCGCAGCCCCCAUGGAGGACCGUGAGGGCUUCCGGACUGUGGUGGCAGAGGUGUCUGUGGGUGUGUGUCAGGGGGAACAGCGAGAGAACUGGGACUGGAAGAGGAGCCUGGAUAUGGCACUGAAUUGCCGCCGUCUCGUGAGCAGACUUGAACGGAUGAGGAGUUGCUCCUUCUGGAUGAGCAAAGACUAUGGUUUCUUGAGGUGGGAGCUACUCCUGGUGGAGAUGCUGUGAAGAUGCUUGAAAUGACAACAGAGGGGUCGGAACAUGACAUAAACUCAGUCGAUAGAGCAGCGGCAGGGUUUGAGAGGCUUGACUCCAAUUUUGAAAGAAGUUUUGUUGUGAGUAAAGUGCUAUGGAACAGCAUCGCGGGCCGCAGGGAAAUCGGAAGACUCGAUCAACACGGCAAAUUUCAUUGUAUUAUUUUCAGGAAUUGCCGCAGCCACCCCGACCUUCAGCAACCACCGCCCUGAUCAGUCGGCAGCCACCGACAUAGGGACAAGACCCUCCACCGGCAAAAAGAUUAUGACUCGCUGGAAGCGUGGAUGAUGGUUAGCAUUUUUUAGCAAUAAGGUAUUUUUUAAUGAAUACAUUGUUUUGGACAUAAUGCUAUUGCACAUUUAAUAGACUACAGUAUAGUGUAGACAUAACUUUGGAUGCACUGGGAAACCAAAUAAUUCAUUUGACUCACUUUAUUGUGAUCGUCGCUUUAUCGGGGUGGUCUGGAAGCGAACCUGCAGUAUCUCCAAGGAAUGCCCGCUCAAGUUUGCGUGUGCACUGCGAGUUGUUUUAGGGUGGCAUUCUCUUCCUUUUUUUCUUUUUUUUUUUUAAUUUUUUUUUAACGUUUAUUUUUGAGACAGAGAGAGACAGAGCAUGAACGGGGGAGGGUCAGAGAGAGGGAGACACAGAAUCCGAAACAGGCUCCAGGCUCUGACCGUCAGCACAGAGCCCGACGCCGGGCUCGAACUCACGGACCGCGAGAUCGUGACCUGAGCCGAAGUCGGCCGCUUAACCGACUGAGCCACCCAGGCGCCCCGGGUGGCAUUCUUUUCAAUUCGUGGCACUUUGUCCUCCUAACAGCGUCACACGUUUUACUUGCAUUUAUUAUAAGAUGCAGUCAUGUCAGAUGUGUACAUUUACUUAUGUGUAACUAUUAAGGCUACAAGAUGUGUAUCUUCCAUUUUUAUAUUUUUGUAUAGACUUAUACGAGCAUGAAGAACCUUCUGAAAUGUACUCAUUAGUUGGAUUACCCAAGUCACCUGAAUGGGAGGAGGACACCAUGAAAUGAGGAAUACAAAGGGGGAAGAUGGAAAAAGCCCACUUCUAGGGGUGGCACUGGUGGGUUCGGUGCUCCCUCAUACCCAGUUAGUGCUUUCCAGGAUUAGACGACCAGAAACUUCUAAAGGGCCCACUCUUUUCGACAUGAUAAUUUUGUGGCUGUAUGAGUAUUUAUGUUAUUUCUAGGCAGAUGUUUCCAAGUAAGGAGAGUGAGGGGAAGUGGUAUCCACGUGCAGCCCCGUGUUUGGAUGCUCCCAAACACACUGAGGGCAGUCAGGCGUGGGCCUCCUUCUCACCUAUGGAUGGGGUGGGGGCGGGGGAUGGGUUAGAUCUGAACGGCAAAUAGGUUCUAUGUCAUGUCACUGCACGUCACAGGAGUAACCCUUCAGCCCCAUUUUCCUUCUCCAGUCCUUCCAGCAUAUCUAUAUUCCAGUCAUGGCGGGAUAAUGUUAUAGAGGUCAUGCUCGGGGCUCUUGGUUUUUUCCAUCUCAAAGGUCUGUGUGUCCCCAGACUGAUAUGGCUGGACCCAAACUGGAAUCGCCUGAACGUCUGGGCACUUUCAGGGUCUCGGUGUUCUAGUAGAGUUCUGUGGGGGCACAACCCUCACGGCCUUGCUGUUUGUCUCUCUCCCACUUCCUUCCGGAGGCCCCGCCCUGUCCCUUCCCUUUCCUGGAAGAGGCGAGUGUUUCCUGCCUCUGCUGUCCCUUCUGUGUGGGGCACUGUAUCUUCAGAAGGAGCCAGGAAGUUUUGUCAGUCAAGGUUCAGCUCACCUGUCCCUUUCCCAAGAGGACUUGAGCGCCCAUCCAAAGGAUUAGCCUCAUCAGUGUUUGUCAUGCUUACUCAUUUAAGGUAAGCUGCGUCAGAGGACGAAGCCGAUCCAGUCCAAAUGGCACUUGGCGCUCAAUAGGCACUUGAUACGUGUUUCAUUAGUGAUUGGUGUUCUUUCGUGCUUCUCUCCAGUGGAAGGUGCCACCUUUGAAGAGGUUGUUGGACAAUAUCAAACAAUACAAGGAAGGCCAUUAGGUACAAAAUACUCAUGUAUUUAUGAAUUCAUGACCAAAUUAAAUAUGAAACCUUAUA